UCUCGGGGAUUUUGGAAAUGGGGGCAACCCUGACCCAGCCAUGCCGCGUGCGGGAAGAAGGCCUUCGGGUUGUAAACCGCUUUCGGCCGGAACGAAAUCGCCCGGGUGAACAUCCCGGGUGGAUGACGGUACCGGAAGAAGAAGCACCGGCUAACUACAUGCCAGCAGCCGCGGUAAUACGGAGGGUGCGAGCGUUAAUCGGAAUUACUGGGCGUAAAGCGCGCGUAUGCGGUUUGAUAAGUCGGAUGUGAAAGCCCCGAGCUCAACUUGGGAACAGCAUUCGAUACUGCCUAACUAGAGUAUGGUAGAGGAAAGCGGAAUUCCCGGUGUAGCGGUGAAAUCCGUAGAUAUCGGGAGGAACAUCAGUGGCGAAGGCGGCUUUCUGGACCAAUACUGACGCUGAGGCGCGAAAGCGUGGGUAGCAAACAGGAUUAGAUACCCUGGCAGUCCACGCCCUAAACCAUGUCAACUAGCCGUUGGGUUCAUUUAAGAACUUAGUGGCGCAGCUAACGCGAUAAGUUGACCGCCUGGGGAGU
rnacentral:rRNA from 1 species